UUAAAUCCAUUUCUUCUUCUCUCUCCGCAAGAUUGAAAGUAAUGCGGAGGAUGUUGAGUGGGACUUUGAGAGUGGCUUUUGGUCUUCACGGAAUUUGAGUAAAGCUUUCAUUGUUGGAAAUUGAAGGUAAUGAUUUUGGUUUUUUUGUUUUAUAACAGUUUUGGAAUUGAAUUUUGAAAAAUUGAAAAUUUAGGGAUAUUGGCUGCGAAAACUCAUUUGCAUUGGGCACAGUAGAAGACAGUGUGCAUUUGAUGUUGAAAUCAAAUUAUGCGGAUCCAUUGGGUUAUGAUGUUUGAUGCAAUUAUACAAUAUGUGUGUUUCCUUUGAAACUGAAUUUAGAUGCAUUGUUUCCUUCAUAAUUGCUUAAGACUAUGUUUGGGAGUUACGAGAGAGAAAAGGAAGAAGAGAGAUCGAAUGACUAGGAGAGAAAAGACAAUUCUCUCUCUUGUUUGGAAUAUAAAACUUAGACGGAAACUAAUGAUAAUGUUAGAAUAUGUCUUAUUUUUCUUUUAAAAAUGUAGAUGAGAGAGUCUUUUUUGUUUCAGAAUGCCUACUUCUCUACUGUUCUUCUAUGUGUUAUAUGUUCUCUUUCUGAUUUUUCACCCUUUCUGUCUGCCUAUGUUGUUUUUUCUUGUUUCAUGUGUGUUUUCUGUUUUUAUGUUGUGUUUCAGAGUGCUACCUCUUAUAUCAUUUCUCUGAUUUUAUAAUUAUAUACAUAUCUAUAUAGGUAUAACAUAAGUUUGUAAGUAAUUUGGUAUUUAAGAGAAAGAUGUCGUCUGAGUGUGCAUUGUGUUCAUAACUAUUUAUCCUUUAUAUUCCAAAUCAUAGUUUAAUAAUUAACACAAAGUAGUUGGUGUACAAAGUAAUUAAAAUAAAAUAUAUUUGCAUGCUUGAAAAGUGUAUUAAAAAAUUAAAGAAUGAAAUUUAAAAACUAAAUACAAGAAGUGUCAGUAUGAUAGUUUGAUAUUUUUCAAACUUUCACGAUAGCCAUACAUAAUUCUUCUUGAACACGAAAUGACCAUACUUGAACCCUAUCUCCUACUUUGAGUUGAUUAGCUUUUAUAACUUUCUUCCAAGAUGAUGACCUCAAAACAUAGCUAGAGCUAACCUUGCCAUCAUUCUUGUGCAUAUUCCAUUUGGCCAAUGUGAGAUUAGUAACUUCGAGUGAGGGCUGAAUCAGUUUCACCUCUACGCAUUUUCCUCUCUCUAAAUCAUCUAGUUCCCCUUCUCGCAAGAAAUUUUCAUUCUUGAUCUGCUUCGAAGGUAUUGAAAGCCGAUUUUGUUGUUCAUUCAAAUCUGAAUCAAACAAAGAUUUAGUAAUCAGCAAAGUGGUUUCGUUGCCGCCCAUUUCAUUUAUCUUAUCUAUGAACUCUUGCGGCAAUUCUGAUGGUGCUGCUUCAACUACUAUGUUAUAUCUUUGUCUUUUUUUGCUGCUCCUAGCUGCUGAUUUAUUUGGAGGUGGCUUUACGGGGACCCAGUCUUGAUCAAUAACAUCAGCAUUCUCUGUGCCAUUGAUAAUUGCUACAUUUUUGCCCUUCAUAGCUCUCCUUUUCAUCUUUUUUAUAGGAAGAUCUUCUUCUUCAUCAUCGUCAUUGUAGUUCAAUUCAGCUUUAGAGCUGGUUCCUUCUUCAAAGGAAGAAGCCAUGAA
rnacentral:lncRNA from 1 species